rnacentral:rRNA from 1 species
GUGGGGAAUAUUGGACAAUGGGCGAAAGCCUGAUCCAGCCAUGCCGCGUGUGUGAAGAAGGUCUUCGGAUUGUAAAGCACUUUAAGUUGGGAGGAAGGGCAGUAAGUUAAUACCUUGCUGUUUUGACGUUACCGACAGAAUAAGCACCGACUAACUUCGUGCCAGCAGCCGCGGUAAUACGAAGGGUGCAAGCGUUAAUCGGAAUUACUGGGCGUAAAGCGCGCGUAGGUGGUUUUGUAAGUUGGAGGUGAAAUCCCCGGGCUCAACCUGGGAACUGCCUCCAAAACUGCAUGACUAGAGUACGGUAGAGGGUAGUGGAAUUUCCUGUGUAGCGGUGAAAUGCGUAGAUAUAGGAAGGAACACCAGUGGCGAAGGCGACUACCUGGACUGAUACUGACACUGAGGUGCGAAAGCGUGGGGAGCAAACAGGAUUAGAUACCCGAGUAGUCC